rnacentral:rRNA from 1 species
UAUGCACAUGACGAAAGUCUGAUGCAGCACGCCGCGUGAGAUGACACAUUUCGUGCGUAAACUCUUUUAUAUGAGAAGAAAAUGACGUAUCAUAUGAUAAGCGCCGGCUAACUCCGUGCCAGCAGCCGCGGUAAUACGGAGGGCGCAAGCGUUACUCGGAAUCACUGGGCGUAAAGAGCGUGUAGGCGGAUAGAAAAGUUGGAAGUGAAAUCCUGUGGCUUAACCAUAGAACUGCUUCCAAAACUCUCUAUCUAGAAUAUGGGAGAGGUAGAUGGAAUUUCUGGUGUAGGGGUAAAAUCCGUAGAGAUCAGAAGGAAUACCGAUUGCGAAGGCGAUCUACUGGAACAUUAUUGACGCUGAGACGCGAAAGCGUGGGGAGCAAACAGGAUUAGAUACCCUGGUAGUCCACGCCCUAAACGAUGUACAUUAGUUGUUGCUAUGCUAGACAUAGCAGUAAUGCAGUUAACACAUUAAAUGUACCGCCUGGGGAGUACGGUCGCAAGAUUAAAACUCAAAGGAAUAGACGGGGACCCGCACAAGCGGUGGAGCAUGUGGUUUAAUUCGACGAUACGCGAAGAACCUUACCUGGCCUUGACAUACCAAGAACCUAAUAGAGAUAUAAGGGUGCUAGUUUACUAGAACUUGGAUACAGGUGCUGCACGGCUGUCGUCAGCUCGUGUCGUGAGAUGUUAGGUUAAGUCCUGCAACGAGCGCAACCCUCGUGUUUAGUUACUAACAGAUUAUGCUGAGGACUCUAGACAUACUGCCUGGGCAACCAGGAGGAAGGUGAGGACGACGUCAAGUCAUCAUGGCCCUUACGGCCAGGGCUACACACGUGCUACAAUGGGGUAUACAAAGAGCCGCAAUACCGCGAGGUGGAGCAAAUCUCAUAAAAUAUCUCCCAGUUCGGAUUACACUCUGCAACUCGAGUGUAUGAAGUUGGAAUCGCUAGUAAUCGUAGAUCAGCAAUGCUACGGUGAAUACGUUCCCGGGUCUUGUACUCACCGCCCGUCACACCAUGGGAGUUGAAUUCAUUCGAAGCGGGGAUGCUAAAAUAGCUACCUUCCACAGUGGAUUUAGUAACUAGGGUGAAGUCGUAACAAGGUAGCCAAGGGCGAAUCGCGCCCGGCUUAC